CUUCUCAUGGCGUAGUGGUAACGCGCCCCAACUAGAAAUUGGGGAGUCGUGAGUUCGAUUCUCACUGAGAAGA
rnacentral:tRNA from 1 species